rnacentral:rRNA from 1 species
UACGUAGGGUGCAAGCGUUGUCCGGAAUUAUUGGGCGUAAAGAGCUCGUAGGCGGUUUGUUGCGUCGGCUGUGAAAUCCCGAGGCUCAACCUCGGGUCUGCAGUCGAUACGAGCAAACUAGAGUGUUGCAGGGGAGACUGGAAUUCCUGGUGUAGCGGUGAAAUGCGCAGAUAUCAGGAGGAACACCGGUGGCGAAGGCGGCCGCCUGGUUGGAUACUGACGCUGAGACGCGAAAGCGUGGGGAGCAAACAGG